CUCUCUGACUACUUUUCGAUCAUAGAUUCUUAUAGAGAUAGAAGAAGAGAAGUUUCUUCACCGACCCCCAUCGAUGAAGAUGAAAUCUUAUGAUCGAAAGUGCUACUGCCACUUCCAUCAUGACCAUGGACAUGACACAGAGGAGUGUCACCAACUGAAGAACGAGAUCAAGAACCUGAUAAGGAGGGGAUAUCUCGAAAAGUAUAUGCGGGAGCAACCACGCAGCUACCCUC
rnacentral:lncRNA from 1 species